UUGGCUUCACCCUUGGUUUAGUACCAAAGUGAUAUUUUAAAAAAUCGAAUAUUAGAGAAAAAAACAAGUUUAAUAAGUUAAUGUAUUUGUAUUAUAUUAUAUUGAAAAUUUUCAUUACAUUACAAUUUAAAUUAAUGUAUUUUUCGAUCAAUAUAAUAAGUCCGAAAUAUUGACUAUUUUUGCUUCAAAAUUAGUAUAUUUUCAUCUACAGUCCUUACUUCUCAAGUCAUAUUCCCCCUAAAUAUAAUAACAUCAUUUUAUGUUUAAAAUAAAUUUUUGAAAGCCGAACAAGUGGCUGAAUCAAUCAGACCACCGAAUCAAAUUGACUAGUUUAAAUGGUUCAGUUAAAUAAAUCAUUAGAAAAUUAAUGAUCAUUGAUCUGCGACAAAGAACAGGAAAUAAAACCUUCGAUUAGUGCAGAUGAUGCAAAUAUAGAAUACCAUACAUCAACAAUUUUGACAGCCCCUGACUAAAUAGAAACUUUCAAAUAGUUCAAUGAUUAUUUUGCAACUUUUUUAAAAUAAAGUAAACACAAUGUAAAGUUACUAAUAAUUUAAGGUUACAUAUUCACUUCUUAAUCAUAUCAAUUUCGUAAUUUUUCUGAACAAAAAAUGUUUGCAAAUAUUUAGGAAUAAUUAUCGCAAUCGAGUUUAUAAUUAAACUAAAAUCAAAUAAAAUAUAUUUGUAAUAAGGCCCAAUUGGCCCAGACCUUUUCAACCCAAUAAUCCUAAACCUAGCCCACAAAAAAACAGACUAGCAGAAACCCUAGCUUCUGCUUAGCGCCGCAGCAAGCUGGCACCGCUCGUCCUCGCUCGCCGCCGCGAAUCUCGCACCACGACCCUCCCCAACAUGCGCCGCUUCAUGCCACGUUAUACCUGCGACAACAAACAAUACGACAAAGAAGAGAAAGCAGGACAGAAUAGCAAAAAUCGGGCAGCAAUAGGCCAACAAAUAACAGAAUAGAUUUCUUUGGAUUUUUUCUUCUUUUCUUUUCUUCUCCAUUCCGGCUAUAAAAGGCCGAUUUCAAAUCUGUAAAGGGGGAACAGAAAAUACAAAGGAUUUUUAAAAUCAAGAGGUGGUUGCAAUUCUUUUGUUUUCAUUUUUUUUUAUGCUUAUGUUUUUUUUUUUGUAAAAUAGCAGUAUAGAAGGAAGGGUUUCUUACCUGCGGGGACUCGCCGUCAACGAUCCAAGCCUGCUUCGUUUCGAAUAGGAGUUGGAGGGCUGAGAUUUGGAUCGGCCGUAGGCCCAGAGCGGCAAUGGAAAAGGGUUUGAAACCCUUGCAGUGAAAUCACUGCUUUUAUUCUACUGCUGCAAUUGGGUUUUAGAAAACCUGUUUUAAAUAAGUGAAGCUUGGAAGGGGUGGGGUCCACGCCUAUUCCUUUCAAUGGUCCAAUUUCACAUUUAGGCCCUUCUUCUUGUGCUACGUUUCAAUUUAACCCAUUUUGUCUUUUAAAAUUUAGCUGCAUAUUUUAUUUCGGUUUCAAUUUGGUCCGUGUCAAUGCACAGCGUUUUGGAAGGCGGUUUAUUGCUAAAUAGGCCCUCCAUAUCAUUCGCUUGUUGCAUUUUCGUCCCCAUUUUUUUAUAUGCUUAUAUUAUUUUAUAAUAUAUAUACAUAUAUAAUUUCUUUAUACUUUUAGUUCUAAUACAAAAUUUUCUUUUUAUAAAUAUUUACAUUUUUGUACAAAGCCUAUAUUUUGUGUCUUUCAUUUUCGAAACGUUUUUUAAAAAAAUACAUACACCUACGCAUUUUUUUUCUCAUAUAAUAUCUAGGUGCAUAUUUAAAAAAAAAACCUUUAUAAAUACAUGCAUAUAUUUAUACAUACGUUUUUCCUUAUUUUCAUUUUAUUUCCUUAACUUUCAUAUACUUUAUAUUAUAUAUACUUAUACAUUUUUCUUUUGUAAAUAUAUACACAUAUGCAUAUUUUUAUAUUUUUAUCUUAUUUUCAUAAAGUUCGCGUAAAUAUAUAUACAUGCAUAUUUUCUUAGAAAUUAUAAUAGGUUUUUGUUUUGUUUUAUAUAUUUCAUUUUUUUUUAUUUUAUAUACGUAUACUUAUAUAUACCUGUUUUAAUAUAUGCUUCUCAUACUUAUAUUUUGAAAAUACAUAUAUACAUACAUAUUUUAAUCCUUAUGCACACAUAUUUGAUAUAGUUUGUUUUCAUGGUUUUUAUAAAUAAGUAUAUAUAUAUGUGUACACUUGUAUUUUAUAAUACAUGUGCAUUUUUCUUAUUCUUGCACAUAUACAUUCUUUUAGAAGUUAUUAUAUGUGUUUUGUUUUGUAUGUAUGCUUAUAUAUAUAUGCUUUAAUAUAUGCCCACAUAUUUUCAAAUUUACUUACUUGUAUUUAUAUAUUUUGUAAAUACAUAUACAUAUGUAGUUUAAAUUGAAAUAAUGGAUUCAUGCUAUGCAUUAAUAUUGACCACAUUUCUAAAGAAAAUAUAUUUUGGUCUUGACCGAGUGAUUAAAUCAUCGUCUUUUAUAAAAUUUCAAAUAUUUGGCAUUCAUGAUUCUCGAGAAAAACAGUAUCCUAACUUACUGGAUUGCGAUUAUUUCUUGGUGAAUUUAGAAAACCAGGUAUUCAUUUUAAAAUAAAUUCAUGCAAAUUUCAAACAGAAGCUUGUUCUUGGAAAUCCAAAAAUGUCAGGUCCUAACUUACUGGUCAUGAUAUUUUGACUUCUCGAAAUAAGAAUUUUCUAACAAAAGGUACAAUUCGGUAUUUGGAAUUCUGAGAAAAUUGAGCCCUAACGUAUUGGGUUCUGAUCUUCUUUGUUAAUCCUAAAUAACCGAGAAUAUUUUUAUUCAAAAUGCAUGAGUAUAAAAAUCAUUUUUUGGAGCUUAACUUGCCGUGUCCUAACGUAUUGGGUGUGGCAUGUUACUUUCCCAAAAUGAAAAUUUUCGCAUAAAAUAAAAGUGAUAUUCAAAGUUCGAGAAUUUUGAGAAAUUGUACCCUAACGUAUUGGGACUCGAUUUCUUUACAUGACUUGAACAAUUGAGUAUCCUUUUCAGAUUUCAUCAUUUGAGUUGUUUUAAAAAUCUUUUUAACCUUCGACACUAAGACAUCAAAUAAUCGAUUUGGUACCGAUUUUGGGCGUUACGAGGGUGCUAACCCUUCCUCGUGCGUAACUGACUCCCGGACUCAUUUUCUCAAAAUUCGUAGGCCAAAAUAUUUUUUAAGGUGGGCCGAUCACACCUUAAUAAAGGAUCGGUGGCUACUCCAGUUUUAUUUUUAAAGUCGACAACUAAAUUUUUGUUUUCAAAAAACGAUUUCGACAAUAUUUAUAAUAAAAUUUAAAGAGGAUUUCACAAAUCACUCAUACAAAAUAAAACUCAAAUAUAAAAUCUCAAUCUUCGUUGCAUCAUCCUUGUUAUUACGAGUUUGUUAAGAUAAUAUUAUAAAAAUAUAUAAUUUAAGUAUUAUUACAUAAUAUUUAAUUUUGUUUAUAGACGUUUAUUAAUCUAUCUCAAAAAUUUUGGAAAAAAUCUUUAUCCUAAAAUUGAUAUCAAGUAUUCAUAAUCGAUAAUGACAGAAAAAAUAUAUUAAACAUAUCAUAUCACUUGUUUAUUUAUUAAGUCGAAUGAAUAAGAUUUUAAGACUAAUUUAUUAAAUCAAUCAAACAUUAAUAAGACAUGUUUAAUUCAUUUAAAUUUAUGAGCAAGCUCGUAAGCUUUUUAAUAAAUCAUUUUUAUUGUUUGAUUAUUAUAUAAUUAACAAUAUUAUUAUUUACAUGUUUAUUUUAUUUAUAACAUAAUUCUUCAUAUUUAGGUUUAAUUAUUCUAUAUCUAAAAAUAUAUGUUAUAUAUAAAUUAUACCAUAGUCAUGAUUAAGCAUAUUUCAAAAUUAAUAUAUAUUUUAUGAUGAGAUUUAGUUGUAAGUCCUGAAGUGAUUGGUUGUUCGACCAGGUCUAGAAUUUGAGUGACAUCGUAAGUUCAUAAGUGUCAAGAUGAAUCUAUAAGUUUUUUUAGAGGGGUCAAAUUUUACUUAUAAUUUUUUGAGAGGUCAAAAUAUAAUUUUAUUAUUUAUUAAUUUAUAAUUCCAUCAAUUUUUAAGGGAAUUUAAAAGAAAAUUUUUCCCAUUUUUAAAAGGUCCAAGUACAAUUUUAUCAUUAUAUUAAUUUAUAAUUCUAUUAUUUUAGAGGAGACUUAACAAACAAUUUUCUAUUAGAGGGAGGUUAAAGCCCUUCACUACCCUUUAACUUCACCUUUGAUACGCUUUGAAAAUAUCAAAUUUUGUAUUUUGAAAUGUUUAGUUGUUUAAUCAACAAAGUGUGGGGAUAAAUUUUGAAAGCAAAUUCAAGAUGGUAAAAAUGAAGAGAGUGAAAAUGCCCAAGGUGAGAAUUGUACGUAGAUAUUUAUACCUAAUGUUCAAACAAACUAAUAUGUGAUUAUUUGUUGUCUAUUUGACAAUAUUGGUGUGUUGUCAUGCCGGUAUAUUUAAUGAAUCGUUUAUUAGCCCAACUCAAUUGCUCUAGAUCCUUCUUGCAAGGUUAUUGAGUCUCAACAAAAUACUUGUUGUGUCAAGUGACGCGAUUCUCUGAUCGACGGUUGGUGCCAAAUAGAUAAUAAUAAACAUUAAUUAAUAUUUGGAAUGACCUUCUUGCAGACAUAAAAACACAGGUGAAAACAGAGGUAAAGAAAGGAAUGGGUCUUUUGGUUAAAUGAUUUAAAUUGCACUUUUAACUUUCCGUUAAUUUUAAUAAAUGAAUUUAAUUUUCUAAGUUUCUUUGUUAAAUGAAAUUGUUAUAUUUUGACUCCUCAUAACAAAUAAUAAAUGAAUUAAAAAUAUUAUAACAUAAACUUUUUAAAUUUUAUCUGCCCUCCAACAAAAAAAUUUUGGCUUUACCCUUUCAUAUUAGUUUUUCCUUUCGGUAGGUGGAUAAAUACAAAACGAAUCGAAAAAAAAACAUCAAGGGAAAGUUUAAGAAGUAUUAAAGAGAGCCACGUGACAAGCCAUCUUUUGUGCUUUUUAUUGUAACAGAUGCCUCUGAUAUUAAACCAUGACAUUCAAAGAUGACCACCAAGUGUUUGGUGUUUGUUUCAAUCCUUAUUAGUUUAAUACAAGAGAAACCCCUUCAAAUAGAAAUUGAUGUUUUAGUCCCUAAUCUGUAUAAAAUCUUAAGUUAAUAUAUUAUGAAAUUAUAGUUUGGCAUUCAAAAAAUGCUAGUCUUUUUGAAAACCAUCAAUUUGCAAGCCAAUACAAUGGUGAAAUUGCAUUUUAACUCUCAUAAAAAUAUAUAACAUAAUCUCGCUCUCCUUAAAAAUUUUUGAUUUCGCCCUUGGUUUAAUACCAAAAUGACCUUUAAAAAAAUCGAGUCUUGGAGAAAAAAAAACAAGUUUAAUAAGUUAAUGUAUUUGUGUUAUACUAUAUUGAAAAUUUUCAUUACAUUACGAUUUAAAUUAAUAUCUUUUUCAUCAACAUAAUAAGUCUAAAACAUUGAUUAUUUUUGUUUUAGAAUUAGUAUAUUUUCAUCAUACAAUGCUUACUUCUCAAGUCGUAUCCCCCAAUAUAAUGACCUCAUUUUAUGUUUUAAAACAAGCUUUUUCAAAACUGAACAAGUGAUCAAAUUGGUCAAGCCAUUGAUUCAUCGAUCCGACUAAUUCAAAUGAUUCGAUUAAAUAAAUCAUUAGAAAAUUAAUGAUCAUUGAACUGCAACAAAAAAUAGAAAAGAGAGCUUUCGAUUUAUGCAAAUGGUACAAAUAUAGAAGACCAUACAUCAACAAUUCUAACAACCCACUCACUUAAAUAGUAACUUUUAAAUAAUUCAAUGAUCAUUUUGUAAUUUUUUUUAAGUAGAGUGACCACAAUGUAAACUUACUAAUAAUUUAGCGACAUUGAAUGGUUCACCCAUAAUAAUAUUAGUAAAGAUUUCUACUAAUAACAGUUUUAGACGUGUGACAUUUUUUUAAGGUUUCAUAUUUAUUUUUUAAUCAUAUUAAUCAUAUCAAUUUGGUAAUUUUUCUCGAUAAAAAAUGUUUGCAAAUAUUUAAGAAUAAUGAUCACAAUCAAAUUUAAAGAGAAUUUCACAAAUUAUUCAUACAAAAUAAAACUCAAGUAUAAAUUCUCAAUAUUCGUUACUUCAUCCUUGUUAUUACGAGUUUGUUAAGAUAAUAUUAUAAAAGUAUAUAACUUAAGUAUUAUUUUAAUUUAAUAAUUAAUAAUAUUAUUAUUUAUAUGUUUACUUUAUUUAUAAUAUAAUUCUUCAUAUUUAUGUUUAAUUAUUUUAUAUCUAAAAAAAUAUGUUUUAUAUAAAUUAUACCAUAGUCAUGAUCAAGUAUACUUAAAAAAUAAUAUAUAUUUUUUAUGUGAUUUAGGGUCUGUUUAAUUGAAGGAAUUUAUUUUCCGGAAAAUCAUUUCCAACUUUUCAGCGUUUGAUUGGCGGAAAACAUUUUCCAUUUGGAAAAUGAACUCCAAAACAAGGGAAAAUGGGUUACAUUUUAGGGAAAAUGUCUUACCCUUUCAAUUUCCAUAAGACAUUUUCCGUGCUCUCCUUUCUAUCGCCUCCUUCAUUCCUUCCUUCAUUUCCGGUAGAAAAUUGCUUCUGUUUAUCGAUUUUCCAGUAACUUGUUUUUUUAAUUAUUCAAUACUUGUUUUUUUUAACACAAUUACAAAUAAUUUAUUUGAUAUUAAUUUUUUUCAAUUUAUAACGAUUAAUAUUGUAGCUUAAUAAUUGAGUAUUAUUAUAAAUAAAUCAUUGCAAUAUAUGUAAAAAUAAUUUAAAAUAUAAAAAUUUAUUAAUACAUAUCAAUAUAUGUAAAAACAAUUUUUUCGAAAAAUAUUUCCAGGAAAUCUGCCAAACAGCCGAAAAUAUUUUACACAGAUUCAAUCAAACACUAGAAAAUAUUUUUCAGUAAAUCAUUUUACAGAAAAGUAAAACAUUUUCCCGAAAUCAUUUUACGGAAAAUAUUUUACUGGCAAUCAAACAAACCCUUAGUUGUAAGUCCAGAAGUGAUUGGUUGUUCGACCAGGCCUAGAAUUUGUCAGUGUGAGUUCAUAAGCGUCAGGACGAAUCUAUAAAUUCUUUUAGAUGGGUCAAAAUUUAAUUAUAAUUUUUUGAGAGGUCGAAACAUAAUUUUAUCAUUUAUUAAUUUAUAAUUUCAUCAAUUUUUAAAGGAAUUAAAAAGAAUUUUUUUCUCAUUUUUUAAGGGAUUAAAGUAUAAUAUUAUCAUUAUAUUAAUUUAUAAUUCUAUUAUUUGAGAGGAAACUAAACAAACAAUUUUUUAUUAGAGAGGAGGCUAAAGCCCCUCAGCGCCCCUUAAAUUCACCCUUGAUAAGCGUUGAAAUUAUCAAAUUUUGUACUUCGAAAUAUUCAAUUGUUUAAAUCAACAAAUGGUGGGGAUAAAAUUUGAAAGCAAAUUCAAGAUGGUAAAAAUGAAAGAGCAAAAAUGCCCAAGGUGAGAACCGUACUUAGAUAUUUAUACUUAACGUCCAGACAAACCAAUAUGUGAUUAUUUGUCGUCUAUUUGACAAUAUUGGUUUGUUAGCAUGCCGGUCUAUUUAAUGGAUUGUUUAUUGGCCCAACUCAAUUGCUCUAAAUCCUUAUUGUAAGGUUAUUAAGUCUCAACAAAAUGUUUGUUGUGUCAAGUGACCUGAUUCUCUAAUCGUCUGUUGGUGCCAAAUAUAUAAUAGUAAGCAUUAAUUGAUAUAUAGAAUGACCUUCUUACAAACAUAGAACUACAGGUGAGAAGAGAUGCAAAGAAAGGAAUGGAUCUUUUAGUUAAAUGAUUUAAAUUACACUUUUAACUUCCCGUAAAUUUUAAUAAAUUAAUUUAAUUUUUUUAAGUUCCUUUGUUAAAUGAAAUGAUUGUAUUUUGACCCCUAAAAAAUAUUAAUAAAUGAAUUUAAAAUAUUCUAACAUAAAAAAAUUUAAUUUUAUCUGCCCACCAACAAAAAAAUUUUGGCUUUACCCUUUCAUAUUAAUUUUUCCUUUCGGUAGGUGGAUAAAUAAAUAAAAAUUGAAAAAAAAUUAAGGAAAAAUUUAGAAAGUAUUAAAGAGAGUCACGUGACAAGCCAUCUUUUGUGCUUUUUAUUAUAAUAGAUGUCUCUGAUAUUAAACCAUGAUUCAAAUAUGGACACCAAGUGUUCGGUAUUUGUUUCAAUUAGUUUUAGAUUCCUUGUUGGUUUAGUACAAUAGUGAAAGAGGGGCCCCACCCCUUCUAUCAAAUAGAAAAUUGACGCUUUAGUCCUCAAAUUGUAUAAAAUCUCAAGUUAAUACAUGAUAAAAUUAUAGUUUGGCCUUCUAAAAAUGCUAGAAUUUUGAUUCAGUUCUUUUGAAAACUAUCAAUAUACAAGCCAAUACAAUAGUGAAAUUGCAUUUUAGCUCUCAUAAAAAUGAAUAACUUAAUCUCGCCCCCUUAAAAAAUAAAAUAUAUAUUUUUGAUGUAGUCUAGUUGCAAAUUGAGUUCGGAGGUGUUUGGUUGUUCAACUAGGUCUAGAAUUUGAGUGUCAUUGUGAAUUCAAAAGUGUCGAGACGAAUUUAGAAACUUUUUUAGAGGGGUUGAAAUUUAGAUAUAAUAUUUUAAGAAGUCAAAAUUUAAUUUUAUAUUUAUUAAUUGAUAAUUUCAUAUUUUUUAAGGGAACUAAAUUUUUUCCCCAUUUUUAAAGGGUCAAAAUAUAAUUUUAUCAUUAUAUUAAUUUAUAAUUUUAUUAAUUUAGAUGAGACUAAACAAGCAAAUUUCUAUUAGAAAUAGGGCUAAAGCCCUUUACUGCCCCUUAAAUUCACACUUGAUAAGUGUUGAAAAUAUCAAAUUUUGUACUUCGAGAUGUUCAAAUGUUUAAAUCAACAAAUAGAGGAGAUAGAACUUGAAAGUAAAUGCAAGAUGGCAAAAAUAAAGAGAGUGAAAAAUGUUCGAGGUUAGAACUAUUCUUAAACAUUUAUACUUAAUGUUCGGACAAACCAAUAUGUGAUUAUUUGUUGUUUAUUCGACAAUAUUGGUAUAUUGACAUGCUAAUAUAUUUAAUGGAUCAUUUAUUGGCCCAACUCAAUUGUUCUAGAUCCUUCUUGCAAGGUUAUUGAGUCUUGACAAAUUACUUUCUGUAUUGUGAUUCAAGCAUUAAUUAAUAUUUUUAAUUACCUUCUUACAAACAUAGAAACACAGGUGAAGAGAGAGGCAAAGAAAUGAACAGAUCUUUUGGUUAAAUGAUUUAAAUUGCACUCUUAGCUUUCAGUAAAUUUUAAUAAAUCAAUUUAUAAUUUUGAAGUUCAUUUGUUAAAUGAAAGCAUUGUAUUUUGACUCUUCAUAAAAUUCAAUAAAUGGAUUUAAAAUAUUAUAACAUAAUUUUUUUCUUAAUUUUGUCCACCCUCCAACAAAAAUUUCUUGACUUUACCAUUUCAUAUUAGUUUUUUUAUUUUGGUAGGUGGAUAAAUACAAAAAAAAACACAUUAAAUGAAAGUUUGAGAAGUAUUAAAGACAGUCACGUGACAAGCCAUAUUUUGUACUUUUUAUUGUAAUAGAUAUACCUCUGAUAUUAAACUGUGACACUCAAAUAUGGCCACCAAGUGUUCGGUGUCUGUUUCAAUUAGUUUUAGAUUCCUUAUUGGUUUAGUACAAGAGAGAAGGCCUUCCCCCUCAAAUGGAAAAUUGGUGCUUUAGUCCCUAAUUUGUAUAAAAUCUUAAGUUAAUGUAUAAUGCAAUCAUAGUUUGGCCUUCAAAAAAUGACAGAAUUUUAAUUUUAGUCAUUUUUGAAAACUAUCAAAAUAUAAGCCAAUACAAUGGUGAAAUUGUAUUUUAGCUCUCGUAAAAAUAUAUAACUUAAUCUUGCCCACUUAAUAAUUAUUUGGCUUCGCCCUUGGUUUGGUACCAAAGUGAUCUUUAAAAAAAUUGAAUCUUAGAGAAAAAAACAAGUUUAAUAAGUUAACGUAUUUGUAUUAUAUUAUAUUGAAAAUUUUCAUUACAUUACAAUUUAAAUUAAUAUAUGUUUCCAUCAAUAUAAUAAGUCCAAAAUAUUGACUAUUUUUUAUUGAGAAUUAAUAUAUUUUCAUCAUACAAUGCUUACUUCUCAAGUCGUAUUCCCCCCAAAUAUAAUGACUUCAUUUUAUGUUUAAAACAAAUUUUUAAGAACUGAACAAGCGAUCGAAUCAGUUAGGCCACCUAUUCAUCAAUUCGGCUAGUUUAAAUAGUUCGAUUAAAUAAAUUAUUAGAAAAUUAAUUAUUAUAUAAUUAAUAAUAUUAUUGUUUACAUGUUUACUUUAUUUAUAAUAUAAUUCUUCAUAUCUAUGUUUACUUAUUUUAUAUCUAAAAAUAUAUGUUAUAUAUAAAUUAUACCAUAGUCAUGAUUAAGCAUAUUUCAAAAUUAAUAUAUAUUUUAUGAUGAGAUUUAGUUGUAAGUCCUGAAGUAAUUGGUUGUUCAAUCAGGCCUAGAAUUUGAGUGUCAAUGUGAGUUCAUAAGUGUCCGGAUGAAUCUAUAAAUUUUUUUAGAGCGAUCAAAAGUUACUUAUAAUUUUUUAAGAGGUCAAAAUAUAAUUUUAUUAUUUAUUACUUUAUAAUUUCAUCAAUUUUUAAGAGAAUUAAAAAGAAAAUUUUUCUCAAUUUUAAAGGGUCAAAGUACAAUUUCAUCAUUAUAUUAAUUUAUAAUUCUAUUAUUUUAGAGGAGACUAAACAAACAAUUUUCUAUUAGAGGGAGGCUAAAGCCCCUCAGUGCCCCUUAAAUUCACCUUUGAUAAGCGUUGAAAAUAUCAAAUUUUGUACUCUAAAAUUUUUAGUUGUUUAAAUCAACAAAGGAUGGGGAUAAAAUUUGAAAGCAAAUUCAAGAUGGUAAAAAUGAAGAGAGUGAAAAUGCUCAAGGUGAGAAUCGUACUUAGAUAUUUAUACAUAACAUUCAGACAAACUAAUAUGUGAUUAUUUGUUGUCUAUUUGACAACAUUGGUGUGUUGUCAUGCCGGUCUAUUUAAUGAAUCGUUUGUUGGCCCAACUCAAUUGCUUUAGAUCUUUCUUGCGAGGUUAUUGAGUCUCAACAAAUUACUUGUUGUGUCAAGUGACGCUAUUCUCUAAUCGACGGUUGGUGCCAAAUAGAUAAUAAUAAACAUUAAUUAAUAUUUGGAAUGACCUUCUUACAGACAUAAAAACACAGGUGAAAACAGAGGUAAAGAAAUGAAUGGGUCUUUUGAUUAAAUGAUUUAAAUUGCACUUUUAACGUUUCGUAAAUUUUAAUAAAUCAAUUUAAUUAUUUAAGUUUCUUUGUUAAAUGGAAUUAUUAUACUCCUCGUAAAAAAUAAUAAAUGAAUUUAGAAUAUUAUAACAUAAACUUUUUUUUAAUUUUAUUCUCCCUCCAACAAAUUUUUUUUGGCUUUACCCUUUCAUAUUAGUUUUUCCUUUCGGUAGGUGGAUAAAUACAAAAAAAAAAUUAAGGGGAAGUUUAAAAAGUAUUAAAGAGAGCCACGUGACAAGCCAUCUUUUGUGCUUUUUAUUGUAGCAGAUGCCUCUGAUAUUAAACCGUGACGUUAAAAAAAGGCCACCAAAUGUUUGGUGUUUGUUUCAAUUAGUUUUAGAUUCCUUAUUGGUUUUAUACAAGAGGAACCCCCUCAAAUAGAAAAUUGAUGCUUUAGUCCCUAAUUUGUAUAAAAUCUUAAGUUUAUAUAUUAUGAAAUUAUAGUUUGGCCUUCAAAAAAUGCUAGUAUUUUGAUUUAGCCUUUCUGAAAACUAUCAAUAUAUAAGCCAAUACAAUGGUGAAAUUGCAUUUUAACUCUCAUAAAAAUAUAUAACUUAAUCUCGCCCUUCUUAAAAUUUUGUUGAUUUCGCCCUUGGUUUAGUACCAAAAUGACCUUUAAAAAAAAUCGAAUCUUAGAGAAAAAAAAGUUUAAUAAGUUAAUGUAUUUGUGUUAUACUAUUGAAAAUUUUCAUUACAUUACGAUUUAAAUUAAUAAUUUUUCCAUCAAUAUAAUAAGUCUAAAACAUUUAUUAUUUUUGCUUCAAUUAGUAUAUUUUCAUCGUACAAUGCUUACUUCUCAAGUCGUAUUCGCCCCCAUAUAAUAACUUUAUUUUAAAUUUAAAACAAGUUUUUUCAUAACCAAAUAAGUGAUCGAGCAGUCAAGCCAUUGAUUCAUUGGUCCAACUGGUUCAAAUGGUUCAAUUAAAUAAAUGAUUAGAAAAUUAAUGAUCAUUGAAUUGCGACAAAUAAGGGAGAAGAGAUAUUUCAAAUUGUGCAAAUGAUACAAGUAUAGAAGACCAUACAUCAACAAUUCUAACAGCCCACUAACUUAAAUAGUAGCUUUCAAAUAGUUCAAUGAUCAUUUUGUACUUUUUUAAAGUAGAGUGACCAUAAUGUAAACUUACUUAUAAUUUAGUGACAUUGAAUGGUUCACCCAUAAUAAUAUCAAUAAAUAUUUCCACUAAUAACGGCUUUACACGUGUGACAUUUUUUUAAGGUUACAUAUUUAUUUCUUAAUCAUAUCAUUUUCGUAGUUUCUCUCAAUAAAAAAAUGUUUGCAAAUAUUUAAGAAUAAUUAUCGCAACCAAAUUUAUAAUUAAACUAAAUUCAAAUACAAUAUAUUUAUAAUAAAUUUUAAAGAGAAUUUCACAAAUUAUUCAUACAAAAUAAAUCUCAAGUAUAAAAUCUAAAUCUUCAUUACUUCAUCCUUGUUAUUACGAGUUUGUUAAGAUAAUAUUAUAAAAAUAUAGAAUUUAAGUGUUAUUUUAAUUUAAUAAUUAAUAAUAUUACUAUUUAUAUGUUUACUUUAUUUAUAAUAUAAUCCUUCAUAUUUAUGUUUAAUUAUUUUAUAUCUAAAAAUAUAUGUUAUAUAUAAAUUAUACCACAGUCAUGAUUAAGCAUACUUAAAAAAUAACAUAUAUAUUUUUGAUGUGAUUUAGUUGUAAGUCCAGAAUGAUUGGCUGUUCAACCAGGCCUAGAAUUUGAGUGUCAUUGUGAGUUCAUAAGUGUCAAGACGAAUCUAUAAUUUUUUUAGAAGGGUCAAAAUUUAAUUAUAAUUUUUUGAGACGUCAAAACAUAAGUUUACCAUUUAUUAAUGUAUAAUUCUUUUAUUUUAGAGGAGACUAAAUAAACAAUUUUCUAUUAGAUGGGAGAUUAAAGCCUCUCAUUGCCCCUUAAAUUCACCCUCGAUAAGCGUAUCAAAUUGUGUACCUCGAAAUGUUCAGUUGUUUAAAUUAGCAAAUUCAAGAUGGUAAAAAUGAAGAGAGUGAAAACGCCCAAGGCGAGAACCGUACUUAAAUAUUUAUACUUAACGUUUAGACAAACUAAUAUGUGAUUAUUUGUUGUCUAUUUGACAAUAUCGGUGUGCUAGCAUGCCGGUCUAUUUAAUGGCUCGUUUAUUGGCCCAACUCAAUUGCUCUAGAUCCUUCUUGCAAGGUUAUCGAGUCUCAACAAAUUGCUUGUUGUGUCAAGUGACGCGAUUCUCUAAUCAACUAUUGAUGCCAAAUAGAUAAUAGUAAGCAUUAAUUGAUAUUUGGAAUGACCUUACAAACAUAGAAACACCGAUGAGAAGAGAAGCAAAUAAAUGAAUGGAUCUCUUAGUUAAAUGAUUUAAAUUGCACUUUUAACUUUUCGUAAAUUUUAAUAAAUCAAUUUAAUUUUUCAAGUUCAUUUGUUAAAUGAAAUUAUUAUAUUUUGACCCAGAAAAAUUAAUAAAUGAAUUUAAAAUAUUUUAAGAUAAUUUUUUUAAAUUUUAUCCGCCCUCCAACAAUUUUUUUUUGUUUUACCCUUUCAUAUUAGUUUCUUUCCUUUCAAUAGGUACAUAAAUACAAAAAAAAACAUUAAAUGAAAGUUUAAGAAGUACUAAAGAGAGUCACGUGACAAGCCAUCUUUUGUGUUUUUUAUUGUAACAGGUGCCUCUGAUAUUAAAACAUGACAUUCAAAUAUGGUCACCAAGUGUUUGGUAUUUGUUUCAAUUAGUGUUUUUUUUCCUUGUUGGUUUAGUUCAAUAGCGAAAGGAGAGGCCCUGCCCCUCUCUCAAAUAGAAAAUUGAUGCUUUAGUUCCCAAAUUGUAUAAAAUUUUAAGUUAAUAUAUGAUAAAAUUAUAGUUUGACCUUCAAAGAAUGUUAGAAUUUUGAUUCAUUCGUUUUGAAAAUUAUUUAUAUAUUAGUUAAUACAAUGGUGAAAUUACAUUUUAGCUCUAAUAAAAAUAUAUAACUUAAUUUCGCCUCCUUAAAAAAUUUAUGGCUUCGCCCUUGGUUUAGUACAAAAAAGAUCUUUAAAAAAUCGAAUAUUAGAGAAAAAAACAAGUUUAAUAAGAUAAUGUACUUGUAUUAUAUUAUAUUGAAUUUUUUUCAUUACAUUACAAUUUAAAUUAAUAUUUUUUCUAUUAAUAUAAUAAGUCCAAAAUAUUUACUAUUUUGGCUUCAAAAUUAGUAUAUUUUCAUCGUAUAAUGCUUACUUCUCAAGUCGUAUCCCCCCUAAUAUAAUGACCUCAUUUUAUGUUUAAAACAAGCUUUUAAGAAUUGAACAAGUGAUUGAAUCGGUCAGGUCACCAAUUCAUUGAUCUGACUGGUUCAAAUGGUUCGAUUAAAUAAAUCUUAAAAAAUUAAUGAUUAUUGAACUGUGAAAGAGAAUGGGAAAAAGAGCUUUCGAUUGGUGCAGAUGAUAUGAAUAUAGAAGACCAUACAUCAACAAUUUUAAUAACCUACUGACUUAAAUAGAAAUUUUUAAAUAGUUCAAUAAUCAUUUUGUAACUUUUUAAAGUAGAGUAACCACAGUGUAAACUUAUUAAUAAUUUAGUGGCAUUGAGUGUAAUUUGCCCAUAAUAAUAUCAGUAAAGUUUUCCACUAAUAACUGGUUUACUCGUUUAGAGCUUUUUAAUAAAUCAUUUUUAUUAUUUGAUUAUUAUAUAAAUUAACAAUAUUAUCUUCUAUAUGUUUACUUUAUUUAUAAUAUAAUUAUUAAUAUUUAUGUUUAAUUAUUUUAUAUCUAAAAAUAUCUUAUGUAUAAAUUAUACUAUAGCCAUGAUUAAGCAUACUUCAAAAGUAACAUAUAUAUAUUUUUAUUUGGUUUAGUUAUAAAUUGAGUUCGGAGGUGGUUGAUUGUUCAACUAGGUCUAAAAUAAGUGUCAUUGUAAGUUCAUAAGCACUAUGGCGAAUCUAAAAAAAAAUUUAGAGAGGGUUAAAAUUUAUGUAUAAAAUUUUAAUGUCAAAUUUUGUACUUCAAUACAUUUAAAUGGUGGGCCCAUGGAAUUGAAUUGUAGUGGCUAUACCAUUAUAUUGAAUCAAAUAGGUGUUAGAUGUUUAAAUCUACAAAGAACAUAUUUAAAUUUUGAAAAAGAAGAUAAAAAUGAAAAGAGUGAAAAAUGUCUUCAUACUUAGAUAUUUACAUUUAAUGUUCUUACUAACCGAUAUAUAAUUAUUUAUUGUCUAUCUGAUAAUGUCUAUUCAAUGGGUCCAACACAAAUAACUAUUUGAUUGAGUGGAAUACCUUAUUACAAGUGUAUUCCAUUACAGCGCCAUGCAAGGAAUAAUGAGCAUUUCUAUUCCCUCUCCUCUCCGCCGAAUGCUCAUUCGUUGUUUAAGAAAAUCAAUUUUACCCAUUCAAUUUCGCACAUAAAAGAUGCUCAGACUCAGCCAGACCGACAACCACUCCCUUCUUUCCUUCAACUCCGGUAGAGGGAAAAACAGGCAGGUAGAUAAGCAAGCAUAUGAAUGUUUGAGUGAUGUUGCGUCUUCCUUCCCACAAUCAACGCUUCCAUCUCCUCCUUCGCAAUCUCUCAUCUUUUGCCUCCAAAACUACCAUUUUCAUGACCUCCAAACAAUUCCUCCCUUCUCCUCUGCUUCCUCAAACCCUUUCUCCUAAACACUUCUCCAACCCCUCUAAACGCCUCAUUCCCUCUCUUUCUUCCAAACCCAUCCCCAAAAACCAUUCUUUCUCACUCAGGACUAAUGAGUUUUCUUCUCUUCCUUCUCCCAGUGUUUCCUCUCCCUCUCCAAGUAUUUUUUAUUUUUUGCAAAUACAGGAAAAAGGUUGUUGCUUGAUUGUUUAUUCAGUUAUUUCUCUAUUUAUGCUAAUUUUGUUAUAUAAUGAGUUGUUUUCUAUUUUCUGGUAUUAUCUGAUUGACUCUGUCAUUGAUUUUAGUAUUUGGUUGGUUGUCUUAUUUUAUAAUAUUUGAUUUUGGAAUUUUAAUCAACUUUCGUAUUUGUGAUUUCGAAUAGUCAAGGAUCCUCCUAUUGGCUUCUUUGUCACCACACUAGUUUUUACUUUUUAAGUCCAAGUAUCACUAUAAUUUCCCAAUUGUUAGUUCCUAAACCAUGGAAGACACACUGGUUAUUGUGUUGAUGUGGUUCAUCUUGUACAAUAGCUCACGAUUUGUAACAGAGUUUUACAAGAGGUAGAUCCUUACUUUGUCCUUUGGUUCCAUUUCAUUGAAAUAAUUUUGACUGGAUAGACACAAACUUUCUUGUUUAGGACUUGGUUUAUCAUCCUAAUAUAGUUAAAUAUUGAUCCUUUUAUGCCUUUGGCUGUCACUAAAAUGUGGAUUUAAGUUCUUUCUAAGUUUGGGAAUUUGGUUCUUGUUUGGAUUGUCUUGGCAAAUAUGACUAAAUUUCGUUUUGUUUUAGUCUUGCUAUUCUAGAAAUCAUUUAAUAACAAAAGAUGGAAAUGGGGGAUAAAAAAAGAGUGGUUUUAUAAACUUGUUUCAUAUUGUUGAAGCUGAUUGACAUGACCUGAAAAAUUAGAAUUUUAAAAUCAAGAUUGUUGAUGAAUAAUGAGAUGUCACCAAAUUUUCUGUUCUUGACUCCCUCUAUAAAAGAUUUCUUAUGUUGCAUACUUGCUGAUUACCUUAAAUAAUUGCAAAUGAUGUUUUGAAACAUACUUUAGGUUGCAUACUGCAUCUUGCAAAUUUCAUGAUUGCUUUUUUAAGUUAAUGAUGCUGUGGAAGGUCGGAAUUGUGUUUCCGAUGUUAAUAAGGGCUUGCCAAAACUAAAUUGCUCUUUUUAUUUGGUCCUUGUUGAAAAUAAAUAAAUGACACUUAUGCAUUUCCCUGAUAGCUAGUGCAGCAGUUAAUUUUGAUGGUAGUUUGGCUUCAACAACCAAUGUUUCUGUUAUGAUUAAGUUGGUAAAAGACCUGUCAAACCUGUGUAUCACAACUCUUGCUAUUGUCUUUUUUUUUUUUUUUGAAAAACUAUGGUUGGGAAGAUGAAGAGAAGAGUUGAGAUGAUGCACCUAAGCCAUAAACCCUCUACCCUAUAUAAUCUCAAAUGGAAUUUGAAGAAGAAAUAGGAAACAUUGCUUUUGCCCCGUCAUCGUUCACUUGCCAAGUGUGAUAUUUUACAGUACUGCCUAAACAUAAAUUUGUGCAAAUUGGCCUACUAGUUCUGUGUUUGUUUAUGUCAAGCCAUCCCUCUAUUGGAAGGUAGUUUGCUAGGCCUCUGAAUCAUCAUUCUAUCCAUUAAUUAUCAGAAAAGUUAAAUGUUUCUCAACAUUGUUUAAAUUCAUAAAUGAAACGGAAAAUGUUGAAGUGUUGCUUGAAUUCAAAAUGCUAAUGUUCAGUUGCAUUGUAAGAUAAACUUUCUGGUUUACUUUUCAGCAUUCUUUCUUUUGGUUUAGGUUCCAAUUUAGCGAAUUGUGAUUCUUUGACUGGGUUACCCAUGUACAAUUAAUUGCUACAACCCAUGGAUGCGAAUUUGAUGUUUUCUUGGAUGAGAUGGAUCUCUCAGCUACACAACGCAACCAUCUAGAAACCAAGAUGAUUUCACAUUUUCAAAGAAGAAAAAAAAAGAUUUCUGAUGCAAGUGAACAUAUUUCUUCUACUUCAUUUACUGAUGCUACCACGUUAUUGGCGGAAAACAUAUGGAUUAUUGGUUGGUGUAAUAACAUGAUAGAAUAUCAUUACAAUGUUGUAACUUUUUUAUGUUGUAAAAUUUAACAUAUAGAUUAUGGCAUUUAAGUUAAUGACAUCAUGUAACUUUUUGUUAAUAUAUGAACAUUAUAUUUGGAUGUAAAAUAUAAUUCUUAAACUAUUUAUUAUUUCUAAUAUUUUGCUUUUUAUCUUAGAAGAUAAUUAAACUAUUUGUAUUAUUAAUGAUAUUUUAGCACAUUAAAUAUGUAUUAUUUAAAAAUAAUAAAGUAAGUCAUAUAUUAUUUUUAUAAUAUUAUAAAUUAUGAUUUUUUAAUUCAUAUUUUAAUAAUAAUUAUAUUAAGAAUGUUAUUAAAUUAUAUAUUAUUUUAUUAAAUUGUAUGUAAUAAUAAUUAUGUUAAAAUAUGAUUAAAUUAUUUCUUAUUAUUUUUAUUAAAAUAUAUUUAAUAAUAAUCUUAUUGAAAUUUAAUAGCAAUAAUUAUUCACCUAAAAAAAUUCUACUAAAGGUAUUUUGGUCAUUUAAGUUUUUUUCCUUAUGUUAUUACAACAUCUAUUCCAUUCAACCAAACAUAAGAAUGUUAUUACAGCUCUAUUCAAUUACAAUCCUAGUGAACCAAACGUAUCAUUAGUGUGUUUGAAUGUUUGGUCAACUUAAUAAACUGUUUGUUGGCCCAACUCAAUUGCUCUAGAUCCUUCUUGCAAGGUUGUUGAGUUUUAACAAACUGCUCAUGUCAAGUGACGUGAUUCUUUAAUCGUCAAUGGGUCAAGUGAUUUAACUUUGUGGUAAUUAUUUACAAGCUCAUACCAAAUAGAUAAUAGUAAACAUUAAUUGAUAUUUGGAAUGACCUUUUUACAAGCAUAGAAACACGAGUGAAGCAAAGAGCAAAGAAAAUAUUAAGUGUUUUUGUUAAAUGAUUUAAAUUUCACUUUUAGCUUUUUGUAAAAUUUUAAUAAUUUAAUUUAUUUAUUUUAGUUCAUUUGUUAAAAGAAAAGUAUUGCAUUUUACUCCUCAUAAAAAUUACUAAAUUAGAUUAACAUAAAAAAUUUUAAUUUUAUCUUACCUCCAAUAAAAAUAUUUGGCUUUACCCAUUCACAUUAGUUUUUCCUUUUGGUAGUUGGAAAAAUACAAGAAAAAUAAUAAUAAUAAAAAAUUAAGGGAAAAAUUGAAGUAUUAAAGAAAGCCAUAUGAAGAGGCAUUUUUGUGCUAUUUGUUGUAACGAAUGCCUUUAAUAUUAAAUCGUGACAUUCAACAAUGGCCACUAAAUGUUUGGUGUUUAUUUUAAAUGGUUUCAACUUCCUUGUCAAUUAUUACAGGGGCAAAGGAAGGGGGCAGGCACACCUUGACCCUCUCUAAAAUGGAAAAUUGUUACUUUAAUUUUCUAAAGAUUAUAAAAUUUAAGUUAAUAUAUGUUAUAAAAUAUGUAACUUAACCUUUACCCCUAAAGAAAUUAUGACUUCACCCAUGGUUUAGUACCAAAAAUAUCUUUAAAAAAAUUGAAUCUUACAGAAAAAAAGUUUAAUAAGUUGAUAUAUUCAUAUCAUAUUCAUAUUAAAUUUAUUCAUUACAUUACUAUUUAAAUUAAUUAUUUUUUCCUGUCCAAAACAUCGAUUAUUUUGGUUUCAAAUUUAGUACAUUUUCGUAGUACAAUGUUUUUUUUAAUAUUCUCAUUAUAGGUUCUGAUUAUAUAUGUUCUUUUUGACAUAAUGCCUAGAACUACCCAUACCCCCUCCCCAAC
rnacentral:lncRNA from 1 species